ACCGGAGCUCUGUCUCCUAUUCCAUUCCACCGUGCAGCAAGCAGAGCACGCAGAGCCGAGCCCCCCUGAACUCAACGCCGGUGACUGACCGCCAUGAGCGAUCGCAGGUACGGGUACUCGUACCCGCCACCUCAGGGGUACUACAACAAUGGGCCGCCGGUGAUGGCGCCGCCGCAGUACCAGUAUGCAGCUCCGCCGCGGCGGGAGUCGAGCUUCCUCGAAGGAUGCCUUGCUGCCCUGUGCUGCUGCUGCCUCCUAGACGAGUGCUGCUGCGACCCGUCGGUCAUAUUCGUGAGCUGAUCAUCCGAUCACAAACAUGUGCUUCCGUCCCAGGCUCCCAGCCCAGAAAUAUCCGUGUGUUCGCCCUUUUGUUGGUGAUGAUAUGAUGUUUUCAGCCCAGAAAUAUGUGUACAGCUCAUAUGUUGUUUGAACAUACCACAACACGACACCGUAUCGACAUCUAUGUAUGUGUACGAAGUAUCUGAAUAAAUUACGGCAGGCAGAAAGUUUAUUCGUAGUA